rnacentral:rRNA from 1 species
GAACCUGAAACCGUGUGCUUACAAGUAGUCAGAGCCCGUUAAUGGGUGAUGGCGUGCCUUUUGUAGAAUGAACCGGCGAGUUACGAUUUGAUGCAAGGUUAAGCAGUAAAUGUGGAGCCGUAGCGAAAGCGAGUCUGAAUAGGGCGUUUAGUAUUUGGUCGUAGACCCGAAACCAGGUGAUCUACCCUUGGUCAGGUUGAAGUUCAGGUAACACUGAAUGGAGGACCGAACCGACUUACGUUGAAAAGUGAGCGGAUGAACUGAGGGUAGCGGAGAAAUUCCAAUCGAACCUGGAGAUAGCUGGUUCUCUCCGAAAUAGCUUUAGGGCUAGCCUCAAGUGAUGAUUAUUGGAGGUAGAGCACUGUUUGGACGAGGGGCCCCUCUCGGGUUACCGAAUUCAGACAAACUCCGAAUGCCAAUUAAUUUAACUUGGGAGUCAGAACAUGGGUGAUAAGGUCCGUGUUCGAAAGGGAAACAGCCCAGACCACCAGCUAAGGUCCCAAAAUAUAUGUUAAGUGGAAAAGGAUGUGGCGUUGCCCAGACAACUAGGAUGUUGGCUUAGAAGCAGCCAUCAUUUAAAGAGUGCGUAAUAGCUCACUAGUCGAGUGACACUGCGCCGAAAAUGUACCGGGGCUAAACAUAUUACCGAAGCUGUGGAUUGUCCUUUGGACAAUGGUAGGAGAGCGUUCUAAGG